GGGCAUCCUUGUUCGUUUAUUUUUUUUUCUCCCAGUUAUGUAAAAAUACAUAUUUUAUGCCAUCACUCAGCCCAGGGAGCCUUUAGAGUUUUGCUUUCCUCCACCCAGCAAGCCCUGGCCUUGUAACUCCACGGGAACUCCCAUCGACUCUUCCAUUGCUCUCUGGUAAUUCAAUAAAAAGGAUUUUAGAAGACAAUUAGGGGCAGUGAUGACAGAUCUGGCAUGAUGCUGUCUGUGGACCUGCAGGCAAGUCCUUCAGCAAGCUCCAGGGAGCGGGUGUGAAGGGCUGCCCCUCUCGGGUGUCCAGGGCAAGGAGAGGACAGACGGGUUCCCUGUGGAUGGGGGCAUUGUGUGACUGUGGUGCUCAGUAAAUUGCCUCAGUUUUCCUCUUCCAUCAAAAAAGGAUGCCUCGUUGUGAGGAUCAGACGAGCAGGUGAAGGUGAGCCUUUGCGCUGACGAGAUGUGACGCUGAUGGCGUUUGAUCUCAGACUAGCUAGAAGAACCUUGAAGGGAAGAGGAAAAUUCUCCUCCCCAACAGAUGGACUCAUAAGACUGGUUCUGUCUCUGGUGAGCAUUUAACCCCUUUUGGUUGUAUCAAAAAUGGAUUAAAGGAGGGGGCUGGAGAGCUGAGACUGAAAAGGAAUGAAGUUCUGAUGCACACUAUGACACGGACGAAACUUGAAAACAUAAUGCUAAGUGGAAGAAACUAGACACAAAAGCCACACAUUAUAUCAUUCCAUUUGUUUGAAAUUUCCAGAAUAGGCAUACCCACAGAGAGAAAAAAUAGAUCAGUGGUCGCCUGGGGCUGGCCAUGACUGCAGGGAGGAGGGAAAUUGGGAGUGAAUGCUCAUGGGCAUGGGACUUCCUUUAGAGGGGGAUGAAUUCUAAACUUGGAUUGUGUGACGAUUGCACAACCUUGUGAUAUACUAAAAACCGUCAAACUGAACGCU